rnacentral:rRNA from 1 species
GAUGAACGCUAGCUACAGGCUUAACACAUGCAAGUCGAGGGGCAGCAUAAAUCUAGCGAUAGAUUUGAUGGCGACCGGCGCACGGGUGAGUAACACGUAUCCAACCUACCUAUUACUCGGGUAUAGCCUUUCGAAAGAAAGAUUAAUCCCCGAUACGAUAUUGAGUUCGCAUGAAUUUGAUAUGAAAGAUUUAUUGGUAUUAGAUGGGGAUGCGUUCCGUUAGAUUGUUGGUGAGGUAACGGCUCACCAAGUCUUCGAUGGAUAGGGGUUCUGAGAGGAAGGUCCCCCACACUGGAACUGAGACACGGUCCAGACUCCUACGGGAGGCAGCAGUGAGGAAUAUUGGUCAAUGGGCGAGAGCCUGAACCAGCCGAGUAGCGUGAGGGAUGACUGCCCUAUGGGUUGUAAACCUCUUUUAUAAGGGAAUAAAACGCUCCACGAGUGGAGCUUUGCAUGUACCUUUUGAAUAAGGAUCGGCUAACUCCGUGCCAGCCGCCGCCGUAA